GUCGACAUAUGCAGAGCAACAAAAAGGGGGACGCUCUCAAAAACCCUAAAGCUCACAAAUCACCAAGAAUCAAAGAAGGAUUUCAACAAUAAUCAUUGUUGAAGCUAAUUUUCUGAUCAAUCACGUUAAGAGAUCCCAAGGUGUCGAAAUUUGAUGUUUGGUGAUGUUGCGACUCGAGCGAGAAGGCGGGUGAUAAAACCGGGAGCGAUACGCGGCUUAAAGGAAAGAUCUAAGGUAAUGUAGGCGAUACUCUGGACGACGAUCAAGCAACAUGUCAAAGAAUCGAACACAACACUUUUGAAGCUUCCGCGUUAAUAUAUUUUGUUUUAACUAAAUGUGAACAUGUAACUCUUGAUGUCACUUUUGUACGUUUUAAACUAGUAGGGAUGUUAAUCCUAAAUACUCUAAUCGUGUAUGAAUAUUAAGUUAAUAAUUUAUUUU
rnacentral:lncRNA from 1 species